rnacentral:rRNA from 1 species
CCUACGGGAGGCAGCAGUGGGGAAUAUUGGACAAUGGGGGAAACCCUGAUCCAGCGACGCCGCGUGAGUGAAGAAGGAUUUCGGGACGUAAAGCUCUAUCAGCAGGAAAGAAAAUGACGGUACAUGACUAAGAAGCCCCGGCUAACUACGUGCCAGCAGCCGCGGGAAUACGUCGGGGGCAAGAGUUAUCCGGAUUUACUGGGUGUACAGGGAGCGUAGAGGGGAGCGCAAGUCUGGAGUGAAAUGCCGGGGCCCAACCCCGGAACUGCUCUUGAAACUGUGAAGCUGGAGUGCAGGAGAGGUAAGCGGAAUUCCUGGUGUAGCGGUGAAAUGCGUAGAUAUCAG